ACUGCCUUUCUUAACCAUUACCACCUCCCCGUACACACACGUGUUUCUUCUUAUCCCCGGCAAAUACUAAAUACCUUCUAAAUACAUCAUUAUCUGCUUCCAUUUCUACCUUGCCGUUAGCUAGAUUGCAAUUCGCCCCUCUAGCACAAUUGCCAAUUCACGGGUCAUAUUCCAAAUCGUGGGCAUCACCUCCCCUCCCCCAUCAUCGGCGAUGACAACAUGUAUUUCCAAGCCCACCAUCGUUGUGCUUUCCAUGUUGUGGUCACUCCAUCGAUAUUCCUCUCUACCCCUCCUCCGCGAGUCUUAUCUCCAUCGAUGGUGCCUUCCAUCUUCAUGACCGUGAGGGUCGUUUCUAUAUGAUUGAGGACUUCAAAGUUCUAGAUCUAAGAAUCGAUGGUGUCGUCCAUCUUCAUGACCGCGAGGGUUAUUUCCAGGUGAUUGUCAGAUUCAAAGUUCUAGAUCUAAGCAUCGAUGGUGUCCUCCCUCUUCAUGACCGUGAGAGUUAUUUCCAUGUGAUUGUCAGAUUCAAUGUUCUAGAUCUAACCAUCGUAGUUUAGAGUUUAGGGAUUUGUUCAAAAUAGCUAAUAAUUGGAAUCCUAAUAAUGGUGUCCUUCAUCUUCAUGACCAUGAGGGUUAUUUGCAGGUGAUUGUCGGAUUCAAAGUUCUAGAUCUAAGCAUCGAGGUCGUCCUUCAUCUUCAAGACCAUGGGGGUUAUUUCCUGGUGAUUGUCAGAUUCAAAGCUCUAGAUCUAAGCAUCGACAGUGUCCUUCAUCUUCAUGACCAUGAGGGUUACUUGCAGGUGAUUGUCGGAUUCAAAGCCCUAGAUCUAAGCAUCGACGGUGUCCUUCAUCUUCAUGAGUCAUGACCGUGAGGUUUAUUUGCAGGUGAUUGUCAGAUUCAAAGUUCUAGAUCUAAGCAUCGACGGUGUCCUUCAUCUUCAUGACCGCGAGGGUUAUUUGCAGGUGAUUGGAUUCAAAGUUCUAGAUCUAAUUACCGAUGGUGUCCUCCCUCUUCAUGACCGCGGGGGUUAUUUCCAGGUGAUUGUCGGAUUGAAAGUUCCAGAUCUAAGCAUCAAUGGUGUCCUCCCUCUUCACGGCUGCGAGGGUUAUUUCCAGAUGAUUGUUGGAUACAAAGUUCAAGAUCUAAGCAUCGAUGGUGUCCUUCAUCUUCAUGACCGCGAGGGUUAUUUCCAGGUGAUUGCCGGACUCAAAGUCUAGAUCUAAGCAUCAGUGGUGUCCUCCCUCUCCAUGACAACGAGGGUUAUUUCCAGUGGGGGUUAUUUCCAGGUGAUUGCUAGAUUCAAAGUUAUAUAUCUAAGCAUCGAUGGUGUCCUUCCUCUUCAUGACCGUGAGGGUUAUUUCCAGGUGAUUGUCACAUUCAAAAUUCUAUAUCGAAGGAUCGAUGGUGUCCUUCCUCUUCAUGGCCGUGAGGGUUAUUUCCAGGUGAUUGACGGAUUCAAAGUUUUAGAUCUAAGCGUCGAUGGUAUGAUCCCUCUUCAUGACCCUCAGGUUAUUUCGAGGUAAGUGACGAAAGCAAAGUUCUAUAUCUAAGCAAGAAAUAUUGGUUAAAGUUGGUAUGUUUACUGUUUAUAUAGAAAGCGAGUUGAAAGUGAAAAGAAUAUCUUAGAUCCGAUUGAAAGCUCCUAUGUACUGAGGUUCUCAGAAAGCGGGGUUGGGAGGGGAAGGGUGGAUGACGGGGAGUUGAAGGGUUUGUAGAACAGAAUAGACGGGGCAUCGAUAAUAGAGAUCGAGUGGCUGAUGUUGGAGCGAUGUUUGGCCACAGUGGAGGGUCACUCUUCACAUACAUAUGAGUCCUCUUGUUGGAUACCCCAUCCAACACAUCCUCUUGGACCACUGAAUCCUCUCACACCUUGGGGUCUCCUCUCCCACUCUAUUUUCCUAAGAUCUGCCCUAUUGGUCUGAUGGCUGAUAACAGGACGGUGAUACCUCAUCUAUAUGUAAAUUGUAGGAGAUUGUUAGUUUUUUAGUUGUUCCUUUCUUCUUCCCGGAAGA